UACGUAGGGGGCGAGCGUUGUCCGGAAUCAUUGGGCGUAAAGCGCGUGUAGGCGGUCCGGUAAGUCAGCUGUGAAAGUCAAGGGCUCAACCCUUGAAAGCCGGUUGAUACUGUCGGGCUAGAGUCCGGAAGAGGCGAGUGGAAUUCCCGGUGUAGCGGUGAAAUGCGCAGAUAUCGGGAGGAACACCAAUGGCGAAGGCAGCUCGCUGGGACGGUACUGACGCUGAGACGCGAAAGCGUGGGGAGCAAACAGG
rnacentral:rRNA from 1 species